AUACGUAGGGGGCGAGCGUUGUCCGGAAUGAUUGGGCGUAAAGGGCGCGUAGGCGGCCUGUUAAGUCUGGAGUGAAAGUCCUGUGUUCAAGAUGGGAAUUGCUUUGGAUACUGAUGGGCUUGAGUGCAGGAGAGGUUAUCGGAAUUCCCGGUGUAGCGGUGAAAUGCGUAGAGAUCGGGAGGAACACCAGUGGCGAAGGCGGGUAACUGGACUGCAACUGACGCUGAGGCGCGAAAGUGUGGGGAGCAAACAGGAUUAGAUACCCUGGUAGUCCACACUGUAAACGAUGAGUGCUAGGUGUAAGAGGUAUCGACCCCUUUUGUGCCGGAGUUAACACAAUAAGCAUUCCGCCUGGGGAGUACGGCCGCAAGGUUGAAACUCAAAUGAAUUGGCGGGG
rnacentral:rRNA from 1 species